rnacentral:rRNA from 1 species
AUUGAACGCUGGCGGCAUGCUUUACACAUGCAAGUCGAACGGUAACAGGCCGCAAGGUGCUGACGAGUGGCGAACGGGUGAGUAAUGCAUCGGAACGUGCCCAGUCGUGGGGGAUAACUACUCGAAAGAGUAGCUAAUACCGCAUACGAUCUAUGGAUGAAAGCGGGGGACCGUAAGGCCUCGCGCGAUUGGAGCGGCCGAUGUCAGAUUAGGUAGUUGGUGGGGUAAAGGCUCACCAAGCCAACGAUCUGUAGCUGGUCUGAGAGGACGACCAGCCACACUGGGACUGAGAUACGGCCCAGACUCCUACGGGAGGCAGCAGUGGGGAAUUUUGGACAAUGGGCGCAAGCCUGAUCCAGCAAUGCCGCGUGCAGGAAGAAGGCCUUCGGGUUGUAAACUGCUUUUGUACGGAACGAAACGGCUCUGGUUAAUACCCGGGGCUAAUGACGGUACCGUAAGAAUAAGCACCGGCUAACUACGUG